GAUGAACGCUGGCGGCGUGCCUAAUACAUGCAAGUCGAGCGAACGGACGAGAAGCUUGCUUUUCUGAUGUUAGCGGCGGACGGGUGAGUAACACGUGGAUAACCUACCUAUAAGACUGGGAUAACUUCGGGAAACCGGAGCUAAUACCGGAUAAUAUUUUGAACCGCAUGGUUCAAAAGUUAAAGACGGUCUUGCUGUCACUUAUAGAUGGAUCCGCGCUGCAUUAGCUAGUUGGUAAGGUAACGGCUUACCAAGGCAACGAUGCAUAGCCGACCUGAGAGGGUGAUCGGCCACACUGGAACUGAGACACGGUCCAGACUCCUACGGGAGGCAGCAGUAGGGAAUCUUCCGCAAUGGGCGAAAGCCUGACGGAGCAACGCCGCGUGAGUGAUGAAGGUCUUCGGAUCGUAAAACUCUGUUAUUAGGGAAGAACAUAUGUGUAAGUAACUGUGCACAUCUUGACGGUACCUAAUCAGAAAGCCACGGCUAACUACGUG
rnacentral:rRNA from 1 species